CCCUCUCCUUAAGUUUAGCCCCUCCCCUGCAGUUCUGAAUACCGCGCACUCUCCCGCUCCUGCUCGGUUUUUUCCCGCCCAGCUCCUCCUUCAUGAUCCAGUCACUGACGGCAAGCAGAGCUCUUGGAUGUCGUGAGAUGGACCUAAGAAUGUCAUAUUUGGCCACCGGCGGAGCCACUGUAUCAAUAUGCACUAUGAUGGAGCUGGAUGGACUCAUGUCUCUAAUUCUACAUUUAAUCUUCUUAACACUUGGUGAUGUGUCCAAAUUGUUACUUGGGUGCAGUGUGCCUUGUAUAACCAAUGGGGGAGGUGAUAGGAAUAAGGUGCUGGAGUCUGUCUAUGACGGACUCCUUCGUGCCUGAUAUCCCACAGGAGGUUCUCUAUGUUGCGGCAUGGAGAUACCUGCUGUGUACACCUAUGACCCAUAUAUUAGUUAUUCUAUUUGGUGAGCCAUGUCAGCUCUCACUGCUUAAACCCUUGCCAUGUAACACGGGACAAUCGCCUGUUAUAUACUUUUUAUUGAGCACUUUCAUUACUAUGCAUAAUAAGGGCAUGUUUGCCCUUGUCCAAGAUGGCCCCCGUGCCCUCUAAAGUUACAUUACGCAUGCGCCGAGUACGCUCUGAGACUGGAGUUUCUUCACAGCUCCGUUAUUAGCUGACAGCGCCCAGGGAGAUGUGGUUCUCAUUGGACAACCCGGUACGCUUGCGCAGUCAGUUUAGACCCACGCUCUGUAUACUACCCGUACCCAUACAGUGAGCUCAGCCGGGUUGGCGAAGGUGUGCACGGUUGCACUUUAUAUUUCACCCACCUCAGUUAUCUUAUUGAUACACGUCCUUUCACUGGGGGAUAGAUGAUGAUCACCAAUCUUUAUUUAUUAUUUUUUCCAUAAUUAUGGGUACCCAGAUUAUGCCUGUUUUCUAUGAAUACAUUUGCUUUAUUUUAUCUUAUGUUUUUUUUUUUUUAUUCCCUUUUUUUAUUUUCUUUGUUUAAUCAUUUAUACAUUUAUGUAUCUUUUUGAUGCCCCUGGAUCAUUGCUUCCCCACAUGCAUGGUGAUGGAUAUCUGGUGAGCACCCCCGUAUGAAACAAAUGUGCCUACUGAGCCAUGGUUGUCCCCCAACCCGGUGGGGGAUAUUCAGAGAAAUCCUGUAUGUCCCCCCUAGGGAGUCUUCAGUAUGACAUGAAGCACAUGAUGCUGCGGGCUGAGGGACAACCAUGGUGAGGUAUCAAUAGGGUAGAUGUAUGUGCUCUAAGAUGAAUGCACAAAAUGGUGUGUGUGUGAAUGGGGAUAUAUACCAGGGCUUUAUUUAUUUAAUUGAAUCUUCCUCAUUUUUUAUUGCUCCAAUACAAGUUUUCUUGAUUUAUAUUUCUUUGCAUUGUUUUAUAAUUUUUUAUACUUUAUAGCACCUUUCUAUUUUGUUUAUUAGAAUCAGUUUUCCUUUUUUUUUUUUUUUUUACUAUUUUCCCUAAACAUGUGUUGGUUCUGACGAUCAGCGUCCGCUUAGCCUCGAUUCCAUGGCGUGUGGGGCGAGGAUGGUCUAUUAACUGACACACAUUCAGUCUGUGGGUAUCGCACUACAAAAAUGGAGAUCGAAGGAUCUGGCAACACAGGGCAAGUGGGCCAGUGAUGCGCCGGGACAUUUGCCCCUGACGCUCCCUGGUCUGAUUGGUGUAUGAUCUAUCCCCCCAGCAUGAAGCUAUUGACAUCUGCAUUACACACACACGCUGGGAUGGCCGGUUCACAGUAGAGCAAUGUUCUGUUUACAUCUAUGCAUUCUGGUAAGUGCAGCCGACACCGCCCCCGCCGCUGACGAUGUGAUUGCAAUAUGAUUAACAACUGCACUUUAUUUGUUUUCAAUAACAUUGAUACUGCUGUAUUUGAUUAUUAUAUCAGUAUCCUUACUUGUUGCACUUUGAAGUAUGCUCUCUUUGUAUUACGUAUGUACAUUUUAUCACUCUUUUGCAUAAUUGUAUUUUUAAUUGUGAUUAAUUGUUAUUUGGUUUGCACAUGUUAUAUACCCCUGAAUGGGUCACUUGGACUUAUGCUUGAAAAAGGCUGCAUGGGCAGCUAAAACAUUGCAUCUUUUACACAUGUUUGGU